UCCAACUUUAGUCCUGCUUCCCAGCAUACUUGUUACUGCUAGUUGCUGGAUGCAGAGCUGGAUCCAGGUUUAGGUACAGGAAAGCAGCUCCUGAUCUAGUGGGGAAGAUGGUUCCCUGCGGCUGGGAGAGGGGGUGAUUUAUGAACAAGCUGGCAAGGCUGUUACGAUGACGGAUUCACCAUGUCGUUGCCCUCUGGGCUGCGCUGAGCGCCAGCCACUUAGUGAGACGCUUCCAUUAACAUCCAUCCCCAUCAGAGUGACUCUUUAAUCUUCUUACAUCAACACCUCCCUACUAAGGGCUGCUCUUAAAGAGACAGUGAGCCUGAGGAGGGCCUCCCAGUGACUGGGUGCCCCUGAACUCCUUGCCCUGCCCCUUCUGGGCCCAGUUUUCAAAUCCCCAGACCGGCUGGCCAGGGUAUCAAUUUUAAGAUACUUGCAGGGCACUCUUGGAGAUGUUUAUUCAGAACUAAAUUCCACUGAGUUCAACGGGCCUUACGCCCCAGCAAGGAUGUUUUGUACUGCAGCCUUAAUUGCUACAGAAGGGGACACAGACAUAGCCUGUGAGCCAUUUGGAUGGGGCGGUAUAAUAAAUGAAUGAAUGAAUGAUAGCCAAAUGAAUGAGAAAGACAGAAAGGUAAGGGAUCUACAAGGCAAUGGGAAAGGAGAUAGGUGACAUCCCACCCAGCAGGCAUGUCAGAUGAGGAAGAAGGCCUUUUUAUCCAUGGUUUAUCACAUGGGGCACAGACACAAUCCAGCAUAGGUUUAGAACUUUUGAGCCCCACUGGUUUCAGUUGGAUAAUGUUAAGCAUUUAUUCCAGAAUGUGCCUGCACACAGGUUAUCGAUAUGGAGCCUGCGUACUGAGAAGGCAGUAGGACAAUCUGCAGGCCUAUUUAACAUUAGCUGUAUGGGACAGAUGCACAGCCAACACAGACCAUAUGAAGAAGGGCCAACAGCGCUGCAAUGGAGCUGUUUAUUCUUCUGGUACUGAGGACAGUCCAUCACUUCUAUCAGCUUCAUCUAUGAGGUCAAAAAUAGAGGCAAGGUAAAAUAUCUCUUCAGUUCCUCUUGAGAUCAGACUCCCUUUCCUAUUGUCUCACAGUAUGCAUGCUGGAAAAUCUUGAAUUGUUCCAUUUCUUUCCAUCAUCCAAUAUGACAGAAUCCCCUCGGAUUUCAAUUAUUUCUUUUAGUCCAGAAUAUCAGGAAAAUCCCUUUCUCACUUUAUAAGACAGACAUACUUGAACAAAGUCCCCCACCUGAAAUGUUCACUGUUUCACACUCCGUUUCUGAUCUACAUACAAUUUAUAUUUUUGUUGCUUCUCCCUUACUUGAUCAUGACUCUCUGCAUCCUCAGAGUAAGAUCCGAAAGCCCUAUCAAUUGUCUCCAUUGGGUAAGUUUGGUGGUAGCUUUGGGACCUCUCUGUAGUUCAAAAGGUGAUUUUCCUGUAGUAAAAUGAGGAAUAGUUCAAUAAGCAAAUAGUUUCACAGAUAUCCUCUUUCCAGGGUUGUUGUUGAAUAGUAUCCAGUUGUAAACUUCCUUUCACUAAUCUGUUCAUUCUUUCCACUAAGCCACUCCCUCAAGAAUGGUACAAGGAAAGAGUCUUGUGUUUUAUCCCAUGGUUAUACCAACUCGGCACAACUUUACUUUACUUCAUGAAAUAUUGGUCCAUUUCAAAUGAGGGUCCUGGCAUCUUUCCCACUUUUGCAGCUUUUGGAGCAGCCAUCCUAUCCUGCCCCCUCAAAACAGGGGACAUGACACAACCCAUGAGCCAGGACUGCGGAAUAGUGCAAGGAAAGAUUCCAACAACAAAGGAAUAAGAAUGGAAGAAUGACUGAGAAAAGACUUGUGCACAGACUUCUUGGAUGAACUGCUAACUUUCAGGAGACAUAAUAAGGAGACAAACCCUGAGCUUUAUUUAUUUAUUACAUUCCUGGAAAGAAGGCAUGAAAAUUACACAAAGACAUUUCCAAGCUUCCUUGGUUGUGGCAGACAAACUAUUCGAGGAUAAGUUUUUGUUAAGGAGACACAUUGUCCAGAAGACAUAUUGUGAAGACCAGACCAGAAGACAAACUUUUCCGUUGCGCAAAACUCUUCUUCAGGAGGACAAAGGCAGACAAGGAGAAUUAUUCUAAGCAGGGCCAUAGUUCAGUGGUAGAGCAUCUGCUUUGCAUGCAGAAUGUCCCAGACUGAAUCCCUGGCAGCUCCAGGUAGGUCUGAGAAAGACUUCUGCCUAAAACCUUGGGGUGCCGCUGCCAUUCAGCAUAGUAGACAAUAUUGAGCUAGCUGGACGAAAGGUCUAACUCAGUGUAAGGCUACUACCUAUGUAGGACACUUCCAGCAAAUUCAGGAAACACAUGAUUAAGCCAGGCACGACAUCCAUUGUUGAAAUCAGGAGCUGGAAGUCCGCGGAGGCCUCCAUGCCUUCCCAGCAUGCUUUGCACUGCCAACUGACUGGAAAGCCUCAUGACAUCAGCAACUGCCACGCUCUGACUGGCCAUGAAGGAGCAGGAGGUGAGGCAGACCCAGCCCUGCUGAAGCUGCUCCAGCGAAAGGAACACAGCGUGUGUUUUGCAGAGCGCCAUGUCAAGGGAUAGCAGCCCUGUGGCCCCAGCUCUCUAUUGUUUCCAUGCCUGCUGAGUCCUGGUGGCUGGGUCGAAGAGUUGUGUGGGCUCAUAUGACCAGAGAAUCAAAGUAUGAGAGUCCUCUUCUCCCACCUCAGUUAUGAGCAGAUUGAGAGAGCUGGGUUACUCUGCUUUGAGCAACCUGCAAUGGAGAGGUUUGUAUGCAUCCACCCAAUCAUGCAAACCAGGCAGCCUGCCUCCUACCCUGACUUUGAAGAUUGUGGGAACCAAGCGAUUGUGUUUUUUGUGGGACACGGGGAACUGGCUCUCCCUGUUACCCCUCCUGGUUCUGCUGUGGUCUGGAUCUGGGCUUGCUCCUCUCAAAAAGAAAAAGGGGGUGGGGGGAGAACAGUCGUUCUCAUAACAAUCUCCACAUGUGCAGUCACAAAGCAGCUGCACCACUGUUCUCAAAAAAAGUGAGAUUUUCUCCAUUCAGAAAUGUGACGCUGCAAGUGCAGGGAAAGCAUAGGCUGAAAAUGGAUGGAUGACAACAUGUGCAGACCCAUAAAGAGUGAGCAAACAAGGUGUGGCAAUCCCAGACUAAACACCUGUCUGCAAGUGCCCUUAAUUUUAGGUACACCUUUACAGAGUUCAGCACUAGAACUUGCUAGGGAUCAGUCCUGAAACACGAUAGGAGAGUUUCUGAGCAUGUACAGAGAGCAUUCCCAUCCAACACUGAGUAAACAAAAUUUGCCCACACACAUCUGGAAUGAGGAGGGUGAGAAUUCCAGGGCAGUUUGUGGGCUUAAGCCCUGACAUAAGAAGAGCCCUGUUAGAUCAGAUAAAAGCACCAUCUAGUCCAGCAUCAUGUUUCCAAGAGGGACCAGCUGGAUGCCUCCAGAACCUCCACAUAAGAACAUUAAGAACAGCCCUGCUGGAUCAGGCCCAAGGGACCCAUUCAGUCCAGCAUCCUGUUUCCCACCAGGUGCCUCCGGGAAGCCCAUAGGCAAGAGAUGAAGGCUUGCCCUCUCUCCUGCUGUUGCUCCCCUGCAACUGGAAUGGCAUUCACGGUAUGAGGGCGAUAGUUUUUCUCUAUGAUUCAUCCCCAGCAGCAGGCAUUCGGAGCUAUACUGCCUCUGAACACAGAGGUUCCACUUAGCUACCAUGGCUGGCUAGCCAUGGCUGUUGCUUAUCUUUCUAGAAGCCAUAGCUCAGUGGCAGAGCAUCUGCUUUGCAUGCAGAAGGUCCCAGGUUCCAUUCCUGGUAGCAUCUCUCCAGGUAGGGCUGGGAAGGAGGAGGAUUCCUGCCUGAAACCUUGGAGAGCCACUGCCAGUCAGUGUCGACAAUACUGAACUAGAUGGGCCAAUGGCCUGACUUGGUAUAAGGCAGUUUCCAAAGUUUCACAUGCAUGUUUCCUAGAAAUUAACAGUUGUUUCUGUGCACUCAGUGAAAAGGUGUCCUUUCUGGGUUGCUCCCAUGGCAGCUGCCCUCUAUAUUUGUUGGAGGUACAUAUGGCAACCAUUCCCAGGAUCCUUUUCAGGUGGAGGGAAAGCAGCCUAGCCUAGAAGGAGAGGAGAAUCCGUCCUUGCCACAAAUACAUACGCCCAUCCUCACACAUUCUCACGCACAUUCUUUCACUUGCUCUCAGCACCUCCUGCUGCAAUCCAAUCCAAGCAGCCCAUAAAUUAAGCAGGACAAAGGCACAUUCCUGGCCUGCCUGGCCCCCUCUCUCCUCAGCCCCCUGGCUCCGCAGAGUCGCCUGCGCCAACAUUGCAGGAGAGAAGGGAUGUUUUUCUCCCUAGCGCUGGCAUCCUGAGAGAUUCCCCCAUAAAUCUCCCCUGCUUUGUUGUGUCCCCCUUGCAAGCUGUUUCCAUUCAUUCUAACCUGGUAAUUUCAUCUUCAUGUGCAGCAUUAGAAAGCGGGAAGGGGAAAGAGGCGGGGUGGUGGUGGUGGGGGGGAGCCCAGGAGAGGGAGAAAGAAAAAUCUGGAGGAGAUAAAGCUGAGUUGGCUUCUUCCCCCCCUGCUCCCCUGGCCCUGUCUCUCUCCGCUCUCUGGAGCUGCUCUCAGAAUAAUAAUCAAGAGCCUGGAUCAAGAGGCUUCCAGACACACCACAGCUCAAGGACAUCCUGCCCCAACAAGCCUGACUUGCAGCUGAACCUUGCUUUUUAAGCCCAGCAAAGGUCUGGAUUUACCAUUUCACAAAGCAACAGAGAAAGACCCUCGCAUCUGAAACUGCCUUUUACUGAGGGCCAACCCAAAGACAUAAUGGGUUUGAAUCUUCUGUUGACUUAUUUUGGCCAAUAACAGGGAAGAAAAUCUGGAUUAGGAUCACAGGUGCUGCAGGAGCGGGGCUUCACUCUUUCCCCAGUGUGCUAUUUUCUGGAUGAAGAUCACUCCCUUCCAGCUGCUCUUUGUCCCAUUAGGGAGAAAUGGGCAUGCAGGCUGUUCCCCCAUUUAACAAGGCAAGUAGCAGUUUGGGCAGUGAUGGCACAAGACGUCCUGGUGUCUGAGGGAGGGCACCAGUUUCUGCCUCUUCCCUUUUUUCAAGAAGCAGCAGAGGCAAUACCUGGUGUGGUUGGGGAAGAACUGCUCAGAUGGCAGAGGGUGGCAGAGGGAUAAAGGUGAGGGUGAAGGCAUCUUUCCACCCAGCUGGCACUCCAAUAAUUUGCUGCUUGUGGCGACUGCCUCAGCUUGCCUUAUGGAAGAGCCGCCCCUGAGUUGGGGGGGAGAUUUUCCUCAGGAAAUGGUGCUGGUGGAAGGAUUAACUUCUGCCCUCCCCAGUGCCAGGGUCCCAAUGCAAGUCCUCACCCCACAACUGCAAUUGGCCAAAAAGAGAAAGAGAGGGAAGAUCCAGUCACAAAUCUCUGCUGUUCUAUCUAGUUUGGACUUCAGUCAGACCAUCUACUGUAGGAGUUCCCAACCUUAGGUCCCCAGGUGUGGCUGGACUACAGUUCCCAUGCCCAAUCACAAUGGCCUUGUGGCUGGGGAUGAUAAGAGUUGUAGUCAACCUAAGGUUACCCCUGAUCUAGGCAGACAUCUGUCCGGCCGUAGCCCCCUUGGGCCUCAGGUGGAGGCCUAGCUCUGUGACCUGAGUUUCUCUUUAGCAAGAGAGGCCAGGGCUUGAUAUGCUAUACCUCCCCAGACACAGUGUUUGUUCCUUCAGUUUGUAGUGAGUUUCACUGCCUUUGACUGUGGUUUGGCAGUGCCAGCGUUACAUCUGAACAUGACGCUGCAAUCUCCCUCGUUGGCUACCGGUGUUGAGGGAGGAAGCUCCUCCCUCCCUCCCUCCAGCUGCGAUUGGCUGCUGGGACUGUCCUUCAGUCAAGAAGGAAUCACAGGCAGUCAGUUCCCCCUCCUCUCUGCAGUUAUGCUGACUGCAGAGAGGACACUCUCCCUUAUGUCUGAAUUCGGAUGGGAAAGCAGGGGGAGGAGGGGUAUGGAACCGUGAGUCCAUUGGACCUGUGGUUCCAUGUUGCAUGCAAAUGUGGCCAUAGAAGAAGCCCCAUUUGGGGUGUACAGCCCACCCACCCACCCUGCUCAAAUGAAGGGUACGGAUAGGAAGCAUACUGCUAGGCAUACAUUGAACAUGAUGUGUGAAUAACAGCACACGUGUACAGAUUUGUACAGAUUUACAGGGGCUAUAUUUUAACGAAAGGCGGUAUAAAAAUGCAAA